CAGGGACCAGCAGGAGCAGCUCGGAGCCCGGAGGCUUUGCUCCCACUACGGGCAGCCGCGCACCCCUGGGACCGACACCCGGAAGGAUGCACGAACACACGUCCACGCAUCCCCGUUCCAGCCCCGGCGGGGCCCCAUCCCCUGCCCCACGCCCGCUCGGCUACCUUGGUCCGAACUUGCUGGGGCUUCCAAUGCGGCCGCAGCUCCCGGAUGAGGCGCAGGGCGCCGGGGAGGAUGUCGUCCUGGUCCACGGAUAUGCCGAAGCACGGGACGGCGGCGGCCCUCGGGGGGCCCGGCGGUUCCCGGCAGCCCGCGCCGGCCGCAGCCUUCUCCUCCAUGCCCCAUGAGCACUGCGGGCAAGGCGCCUGCCUCCUCAGGAACCUCUCAACCACAAGCCUCCUGUCCUGACUGCUGUCCAGAAUCCAGCUCUGCCCAGUGGAACUUCUGUGAUGAUGGACAUGUCCUAUAUCUGUUCUGUCCAGUGCAGUGGCCACCAGCCACAUGUGACUAUCCAUCAAUUGAAAUGCGGCUAGU